GACGAACGCUGGCGGCGUGCUUAACACAUGCAAGUCGAACGGAAAGGCCCUGCUUUUGUGGGGUGCUCGAGUGGCGAACGGGUGAGUAACACGUGAGUAACCUGCUCUUGACUUUGGGAUAACUUCAGGAAACUGGGGCUAAUACCGGAUAGGAGCUCCUGCUGCAUGGUGGGGGUUGGAAAGUUUCGGCGGUUGGGGAUGGACUCGCGGCUUAUCAGCUUGUUGGUGGGGUAGUGGCUUACCAAGGCUUUGACGGGUAGCCGGCCUGAGAGGGUGACCGGCCACAUUGGGACUGAGAUACGGCCCAGACUCCUGCGGGAGGCAGCAGUGGGGAAUAUUGCACAAUGGGCGGAAGCCUGAUGCAGCAACGCCGCGUGCGGGAUGACGGCCUUCGGGUUGUAAACCGCUUUCGCCUGUGACGAAGCGUGAGUGACGGUAAUGGGUAAAGAAGCACCGGCUAACUACGUG
rnacentral:rRNA from 1 species